GGGAGUGAAAUAGAACCUGAAACCCUGCACUUACAAGCUGUGGAAGCACGUUUCUUGUGUGACCGCGUACUUUUUGUAGAACGGGCCAACGAGUUACGUUAAGUAGCAAGGUUAAGCACUUAAGGUGUGGAGCCGUAGCGAAAGCGAGUUUUAACUGAGCGUUAAGUUACUGGACGUAGACCCGAAACCGGGCGACCUACCCAUGAGCAGGAUGAAGCGAAAGUAAAAUUUCGUGGGGGUCCGAACCCACGAGCGUUGAAAAGCUCGGGGGUGACUGGAGGGGAGAGGUGAAAUUGCAAUCGAGCCCGGAGAUAGCUGGUUCUCCCCGAAAUAGCUUUAGGGCUAGCCUCAAGGUCAGAUAUACGGAGGUAGAGCACUGAAUGUCCUAGGGGGUAUUGCACCUA
rnacentral:rRNA from 1 species